CCUACGGGGGGCAGCAGUGGGGAAUAUUGGGCAAUGGAGGAAACUCUGACCCAGCAACGUCGCGUGAAUGAUGAAGGUCCUCGAAUUGUAAAGUUCUUUUCUUAGGGAAGAAGAAAGUGACGGUACCUUAGGAAUAAGCCUCUGCUAACUACGUGCAAGCAGCCGCGGUAAUACGUAGGAGGCAAGCGUUAUCCGGAUUGACUGGGCGUAAAGGGUGCGUAGGUGGUUUGACAAGUUGGUAGCGUAAUUCCGAGGCUUAACCUCGGCACUAUUACCAAUACUGGUGGACUCGAGUGCAGGGGGGGCAAAUGGAAUUCGUAGUGUAGCGGUGGAAUGCGUAGAUAUUAGGAGGAACACCAGUGGCGAAGGCGAUUUGCUGGACUGUAACUGACACUGAGGCACGAAAGCGUGGGGAGCAAACAGGAUUAGAUACCCUUGUAGUC
rnacentral:rRNA from 1 species